rnacentral:rRNA from 1 species
AGUGAACGUUGGCGGCGUGGAUUAGGCAUGCAAGUCGAGCGAGAACCGUAGCAAUACGGGGACAGCGGCGAAUGGGACAGUAAUGUGUAGGUACCUACCCCGAGGUCUGGGAUAGCUGCGGGAAACUGCAGGUAAUACCGGAUAAUGUCUUCGGACCAAAGGUGUGAUUCCACCUUGGGAGGGGCCUGCAUCCUAUUAGCUAGUUGGCGGGGUAAUGGCCCACCAAGGCAACGAUGGGUAGCGGGUGUGAGAGCACGACCCGCGUCAUUGGGACUGAGACACUGCCCAGGCACCUACGGGUGGCUGCAGUCGAGGGUCUUCGGCAAUGGGCGAAAGCCUGACCGGGCGACGCCGCGUGCGGGAUGAAGGCCUUCGGGUUGUAAACCGCUGUCGUAGAGGAGGAAAUGCAGGGGGGUUCUCCCUUCUGUUUGACCUAUUCUAGGAGGAAGUACGGGCUAAGUUCGUGCCAGCCGCCGCCGUAA